AAGUUCUUGGUUAAAGGAGCUAAAAGAAGUUUCUUUAAGUUCUGAUGCAUUUUUCCCAUUUCGCGACAACAUUGAUCGCGCAGCCCAGAGUGGUGUGGAAUAUAUUGCGAGUCCUGCUGGAUCAGUUUCAGAUGAUGUAGUGAUUACAGCU